rnacentral:lncRNA from 1 species
AGUACUUUUGUCUUCUGGUGAACUCACCUAGACAUAUGAAGCCGCUGAUGCUGACAGCUAGCACAGUUCCCACUUCAGAGAAUAUGAUGAACACAGCUCAGAUGAAUACAGCAAAAAUUAGUUCCAGGUAAUCAUCUUAAAACAACUUGACUUCCCUUCCUGGGAGAAUUAGAGCUGGAAGGGCAGAAGCAUGGAGCUGUGGAGGUCAUUCACAGCAAAGCCAGUAAGUAUGCAAAGAGCAGAGUCUAGGAUGGGCAGGUACAUGGUUCAACCACCCUAACCCUGGGACCCUCACAAACACUCACAUAGCUGUUUUCCAACACACAUGGGCUAUGUGCAUAUCUCAGUCUUAAAGUGCCAGACCAGGCAGUGAUUUUUAAAAAGUCUGACAUGCUGGAUUGUUUCAUACUCGUUGAUAGGAAAUGAGAAAGAAGACAAUGGACUCUACAUAGAAAACAUCUAUCUACAAACAUGAGUAAGUGUUUCAAUAAUUGCUGAAGAACAACAAGCCAAUGAAUGCUGCAGGCGAACUGACCUGGGAAAGCUUCCUCUUGGCCAACAUGGAAAUAGGAGGUUCAGAUUGGUGGAGGAAAAGAGGGACACCUCACACUUGCCCAGCAUGAUCAGCAGUAAAAAACACCAUAUGGAGAAGUUCAUGAUCAGGGGAGAGGAAGGGGUCUCAUCUCCAUUAUGCACACCACAGGUGCU